CAGCGGUACGCACAAUUAACGGAGAUUGUGACAGAUGCCGCAAAAACAUGUUUUACCACAUACUUUUCAUUUUAAUUCCUCAGGGAAGCGUUUUAGGUCCAUUGAUUUUAUACGGAUGGCAUUCCUUCGUCAAAAAUGAAGUUGCUGCAUACCUAGUCCAAAUAUCUUGUAGAAGUAUGGAAGCUGUCACGGGGAGGAACAAUUCCCGAUUGUCUUCACUCUCCUUUCAUUUUCUAUCAUGUUGAAAGCCUCGGUGACUGAC